rnacentral:rRNA from 1 species
GAUCGGUGACAGGUGGUGCGAUGGUUGUCGUCAGCUCGUGUCGUGAGAUGUUGGGUUAAGUCCCGCAACGAGCGCAACCCCUAUUGUUAGUUGCCAUCAUUCAGUUGGGCACUCUAGCGAGACUGCCGGUAAUAAACCGGAGGAAGGUGGGGAUGACGUCAAAUCAUCAUGCCCCUUAUGACCUGGGCUACACACGUGCUACAAUGGUUGGUACAACGAGUUGCGAGUCGGUGACGGCGAGCUAAUCUCUUAAAGCCAAUCUCAGUUCGGAUUGUAGGCUGCAACUCGCCUACAUGAAGUCGGAAUCGCUAGUAAUCGCGGAUCAGCACGCCGCGGUGAAUACGUUCCCGGGCCUU